UUGGAAAAUAAGCGCUUUUUCAGACAAAGACCACACAAGGAAUUUAUACUGGUUCGCUUAUAACACAAAGCUACUCCAGUCCACCCGGCCAAGGUGAUUUCGCCUUCAAUAAGGACUUAAUCCACUAAUCUUGAAAGAUUAUUACAACCAACGUCUAAGAGAAAGAUCUCUUAGUCCUCUCAAGUAUGCAGACUGCGCAGAGUCACUUGAGGAAAUAUAAAACAGCUUAGAUAAAAACAAGGUUUG
rnacentral:lncRNA from 1 species